rnacentral:rRNA from 1 species
GACGAACGCUGGCGGCGUGCUUAACACAUGCCAGUCGAACGGAAAGGCCCCUUUGGGGGUACUCGAGUGGCGAACGGGUGAGUAACACGUGCGUAACCUGCCCUUGACUUCGGGAUAACUUCAGGAAACUGGGGCUAAUACCGGUUAGGAAUCCUUUCUGCACGGUGGGGGUUGGAAAGCUUCGGCGGUUUUGGAUGGACUCGCGGCUUAUCAGCUUGUUGGUGGGGUAGUGGCUUACCAAGGCUUUGACGGGUAGCCGGCCUGAGUGGGCGACCGGCCACAUUGGGACUGAGAUACGGCCCAGACGCCGACGGGAGGCAGAAGUGGGGAAUAUUGCACAAUGGGCGGAAGCCUGAUGCAGCAACGCCGCGUGCGGGAUGACGGCCUUAGGGUUGUAAAACGCUUUCAGCAGGGGCGAAGCUUGUGGUGACGGUACCUGCAGAAGAAGCACCGGCUAACUACGUG